UUAUAAAGUAAGCUAAAACUAAGCUAAUGGGUUCAUACCCCAAUAAUGAAUUAUUCCUUUAUUA
rnacentral:tRNA from 1 species